GGGGAAUAUUGGACAAUGGGCGAAAGCCUGAUCCAGCCAUGCCGCGUGAGUGAUGAAGGCCCUAGGGUUGUAAAGCUCUUUCAGUGGGGAAGAUAAUGACGGUACCCACAGAAGAAGCCCCGGCUAACUUCGUGCCAGCAGCCGCGGUAAUACGAAGGGGGCUAGCGUUGUUCGGAAUUACUGGGCGUAAAGCGCACGUAGGCGGAUCUUUAAGUUAGGGGUGAAAUCCCGGGGCUCAACCCCGGAACAGCCUCUGAUACUGGAGAUCUUGAGUCCGAGAGAGGUGAGUGGAAUUCCGAGUGUAGAGGUGAAAUUCGUAGAUAUUCGGAGGAACACCAGUGGCGAAGGCGGCUCACUGGCUCGGUACUGACGCUGAGGUGCGAAAGCGUGGGGAGCAAAC
rnacentral:rRNA from 1 species